GAUGAACGCUGGCGGCGUGCCUAAUACAUGCAAGUCGAGCGAAUGGAUUAAGAGCUUGCUCUUAUGAAGUUAGCGGCGGACGGGUGAGUAACACGUGGGUAACCUGCCCAUAAGACUGGGAUAACUCCGGGAAACCGGGGCUAAUACCGGAUAAUAUUUUGAACUGCAUGGUUCAAAAUUGAAAGGCGGCUUCGGCUGUCACUUAUGGAUGGACCCGCGUCGCAUUAGCUAGUUGGGGAGGUAACGGCUCAACAAGGCAACGAUGCGUAGCCGACCUGAGAGGGUGUUCGGCCACACUGGGACUGAGACACGGCCCAGACUCCUACGGGAGGCGGCAGUAGGGAAUCUUCCGCAAUGGACGAAAGUCUGACGGAGCAACGCCGCGUGAGUGAUGAAGGCUUUCGGGUCGUAAAACUCUGUUGUUAGGGAAGAACAAGUGCUAGUUGAAUAAGCUGGCACCUUGACGGUACCUAACCAGAAAGCCACGGCUAACUACGUGCCAGCAGCCGCCGUAA
rnacentral:rRNA from 1 species